GGGAGCAUAGCUCAGUUGGCUAGAGCACCUGCCUUACAAGCAGGGGGUCAUAGGUUCGAGCCCUAUUGUUCCCACCA
rnacentral:tRNA from 1 species